CAGAGGGUGCGAGCGUUAAUCGGAAUUACUGGGCGUAAAGCGUGCGUAGACGGUUAUUUAAGUCGGGUGUGAAAGCCCCGGGCUCAACCUGGGAAUUGCAUUCGAGACUGAAUAGCUAGGGUACGGUAGAGGGAAGCGGAAUUUCCGGUGUAGCGGUGAAAUGCGUAGAUAUCGGAAGGAACAUCAGUGGCGAGAGCGGCUUCCUGGACCAGUACCGACGUUCAGGCACGAAAGCGUGGGGAGCAAACAGGAUUAGAUACCCUGGUAGUCCACGCCAUAAACGAUGAGGACUAGACGUUGGAGGGGUAAGCCUUUCAGUGUCGUAGCUAACGCGCUAAGUCCUCCGCCUGGGGAGUACGGCCGCAAGGUUG
rnacentral:rRNA from 1 species